UACGAGGGGGGCUAGUGUUGUUCGGAAUCACUGGGCGUAAAGGGAGCGUAGGCGGGAGCCUAAGUUGGGUGUUUAAUUCCGGGGCCCAACCCCGGGCGUGCACUCAAAACUGGGUUUCUCGAAUAGGGGAGAGGUCGGUGGAAUUGGAGGUGUAGCGGUGGAAUGCGUAGAGAUCUCCAAGAACACCCGUUGCGAAGGCGGCCGACUGGACCCAUAUUGACGCUGAGGCUCGAAAGCAUGGGGAGCAAACAGG
rnacentral:rRNA from 1 species